rnacentral:lncRNA from 1 species
AUGACCCCUCUAAGCAAAGCUCUCUCUGCCCCAUGCUGCAGGUACUGGCGUGACCACUCAGGACAUCUGCAGCUCUCCAGGAUUUCGGGAGCAUGGAGGUGGGUCCCAAAAAUGAACGUGUCUUGUGGAAAGAGAUGGGAAGAGAGAAGCGAAUUAUUACCUCAUGGUUCCCCCUGUGAAGCCCUGGGAGAGCAGAUUUUUCCAGCCUUGGCAUGCAGUUGGUUUUGCCACCUGGCCAUCACUAAUGCUUGCCUGGGGAAUCCCUCUGCCUUCUCUCCAGGUAACAACCAGGCUCCAGUCCUGUACCUCAAUGCUUCCAGUGCCCAGGAGGGGGAAAUAGUGCUGCUUCAAUGUACCCUUGAUGAGCAGUUUCCUCCUACACGAGUUGUCUUCUGCAAGAAUGGGCUGGAGGAGUUCAGCCUGAAAGCCCAGCAGGGCAGGCUCAUCUACACUCUGGUCCUGAACAUCACCUCCAGAAGUGCUGGGACGUACACGUGUGGGUACCAGCAAAAGAACAAGGAAAACUGGGUGAGGAGCUCUGCUCUCAGUGCUCCCCGGACCUUGUCUGUGGCAGGUGCAGGUGCUGGUGAGACCACCACUGAUAUCCACAGCUCCAUAGGUGCCUGCAGAGGGAGAUGCCCAAGGUGAGCACCAAGGGCUGCUGGCUGUGGGGUAUGCGGGAGGGAGUUGGGGGAAUGAAAGGUCCCUGGGGUGCUCCUUGUUCAGGGGCAUUCCCUGUG